rnacentral:rRNA from 1 species
AUGAAUAUCCUAUGUCUUAACUGUCGGGGUUGCGGGCGGCCCGAGACAGUUAAUGAAAUAGGUAACUUAGUUAAGUUGUAUCACCCGUGCUUAGUCUUUCUCUCAGAGACUAAGUUGUCUACUAUGAGAGCUCAGUACUUGCGAUUCAGGAUCGGUUUCUCCAAUGCAUUUGGUGUUGGAAGUAAUGGACUCAGUGGCGGUUUGGUUCUUUUUUGGAACAACGAUUUAGUAGUGAGUUUGGAAUCUUAUAACAAUUCCCACAUUGAUGUUUCGAUUCAGAAUGAGAACUUGGGAGAGAAAGAAUGGAGAUUCACAGGUUUUUACGGGGAACCAGUGAGAUCCAGGAGGAGGAACAGUUGGGAACUAAUGAGAUAUUUAAGGCAAAAAUCUAAUCUACCAUGGCUUUGCGCAGGGGAUUUCAAUGAAGUUCUCGAUGCGAGUGAAUAG